AAAAACAACGAGUUUCAACACACCGCAAAAUUUAUUCAACAAGAUUCACAUCUAGCAGAUAGACAUAUUUGCUAAAAUAUUUGUAUAUUUGCAUUUUGGUUACAGGAGGAAAAAAACCCAAACAAAACAUAUGUAUAACAAUCACUCCGAAAAGCAAGCCAAGAGACAAUAUCCGACUAUGUAUUACACUUCUAUUAGCUUAUUACCCUCCAACUUCUCCCUUCAUAUACUAGUAGCACUAAAACUAUAUACAUUACUGCUCUAUCAAACACUGGCCUUUUCGUGAGAAAGCACUAGUGUUUUAAUGGAAUUGGAGGAUCUGCAUUCUGAUUACUAAUACGUUGUGCUGAUAUGAUAAUUAGGAGCAACUGAAGGUGUCUUGAACUUGGACUUGAUUAACUUAAUAUCCUAUAACUAAUCCUCCCAUUGGGGCUCGAUGUGGAAUUCCCUUUCUUCGUUUGGCUGUUCUGUAAUUAACCGAAGUUUGAGGGGGCGUUGACGGACUGAAACAUUGAACAUUGUUUCGCCGGCUAUGGUUGCUGCUACUGUAUGAGUCCUCCGACUCAUAGGCUGCUGCUGUUACCGCCGCCGCCCUCUUCUUUUCCACGAAAUUCUGUGAUGUCCCUACAAUCUAUAAAAAAUACAACAUAUAUUAAAUGCUUAAAAACAAUCUCAAAACCCCAAUUGUAUAAGUGUUCCGCUUUCCCAAAAGACCAGUUGAUAAUGCCAAAGUUUGUUGCCAAUAAUGGAGCAGUAACGUGAGUGGAAUUUCCACACUACUACCAUUUAAUAGCUUCCUGAGGGGGCGUUGACGGACUGAAACUUUGAACAUUGUUUCGCCGGCUAUGGUUGCUGCUACUGUAUGAGUCCUCCGACUCAUAGGCUGCUGCUGUUACCGCCGCCGCCCUCUUCUUUUCCACGAAAUUCUGUGAUGUCCCUACAAUCUAUAAAAAAUACAACAUAUAUUAAAUGCUUAAAAACAAUCUCAAAACCCCAAUUGUAUAAGUGUUCCGCUUUCCCAAAAGACCAGUUGAUAAUGCCAAAGUUUGUUGCCAAUAAUGGAGCAGUAACGUGAGUGGAAUUUCCACACUACUACCAUUUAAUAGCUUCUUCACAUUUUGUCAAAAAGCAAACAGCAAUUGAGAAUAGCCUUUAUGGUGUUCAGGACCCAAAUAUUCAAUUGAAUAAAAAUUUGUGAGAAUGGAGCAAAAAGCAAUUAGUCAGUAAUUACC
rnacentral:lncRNA from 1 species